UACGUAGGGGGCAAGCGUUGUCCGGAAUCAUUGGGCGUAAAGAGCGUGUAGGCGGUUCGGUAGGUCCGUUGUGAAAACUCGAGGCUCAACCUCGAGACGCCGAUGGAAACCCCCGAACUAGAGUCCGGAAGAGGAGAGUGGAAUUCCUGGUGUAGCGGUGAAAUGCGCAGAUAUCAGGAAGAACACCCGUGGCUAAGGCGGCUCUCUAGUACGGUACUGACGCUGAGACGCGAAAGCGUGGGGAGCGAACAGG
rnacentral:rRNA from 1 species